rnacentral:sRNA from 1 species
CACACUGGCCUGGAUCGAUGUAGUGGACAUGACAAUCAAGACCGCCGGGUGUGACGAUCAUUCCCUCUGCCGCGCGGACGUCCGUAUUGGUCCCGACUAUGAGGUUUGGGUCUACUCCAUUCAUGAUCCGUGGAUCACCAGCCUUGCCAAUACCAGCAAUCAGUCCGUCCUUGAUCCCUAUGUCAGCCUUGAUGAUGCCGAGCACUGGAUCGAUGAUUGUUGCGUUCGUUAUUACGAGAUCGAGUGCGCCUUCUGCCGCAGUGAUGUGGCCAUGACAACCGGUG